CCUGGGGUGAGGCCUCUGCUGAGUGAUAGGGCUGGGAAAGGAGUGGGACAUGAAGUGAAUGUAGCACAUCUGGCCCCAGACCAAGACACAGGUUAUAGCAUUCUCUUUGUACAAAAAUAACUCGAUGGCUCCGUAAAUAACCGAAGCCUCACCACUUGUACAAACGACCUUGUUGCAGAGGCAGCAUUUCUUUUGACACUAAAAAUUCUCUCUUCCUUAAAGCAUUUUUAUGAUUGUGACAUAAUUAUUACUACUGUUACUAAACACUCUCGUAGGCCAUGGUAUUUAAAAAAAAUAUUUGUUUAUAUGGGAGGCACAGAGACAGAGGGAGAAGAAGGUAGAAAGUGCUCCCAUUUGCUGGUUUACUCCUGAGAUGCCUGCAAGUAGCUGGGGCAGAACUGGGUCAAACACCGAAGCUGAGAAUGCAGUUCAGGUCUUCCAUGUGGGUGGCAGGGAUGCAUUACUUGAGCCAUUACUGCUGUUUCCCAGGGUCUGCCUUAGCAGGAAGCUGGAAUCUGGAGCUGGAAUAAAAUCCUGGGCACUACAGUAUGGCAGGCAGGUAUCUUAACUGCUAGGAUAAAUGCUAGUUUCCAGACUAUGGUAUUUUGAGAGAUCUCUGCAACAGCUUCAUUCAUCUCUCAUGGCAGCCUUGUUGGUUUUUUUAAUCCUAGUUUUGUAGAUGAGAAAAAGCUAAGCUGUUGUAUCAGAUCUCACAGUGAGGAGGGGGCUGAUGCAAGCCCUUCUGAAUCUUGCAACUUCUGCUCACCCCAUUUCAUUUACAUGAAACAAAGCCCAUCUCAAGGUGAUGGGCUAAGUGGACUCCCUGAUCCUUCCCCCCGCAUUGCUUUGAGCUCUUCAUCUAAUUUCUACUCUUCUUUCUUUUAUUUAUUUAUUUGAGAGGGAGAGUUGUUGACAGAGAGGGAGAAAGAGAGAAAGGUUUCCAUAUGCUGGUUCACUCCCCAAACUGCCAAAACGGCUAGAGCUGGGCCUAUCUGAAGCCAGGAGCUUCUUCUGGGUCUCUUAUGUGGGUGCAGGGGCCCAAACACUUGGGCCACCUUCUACUGCUUUCCCAGGCCAUAAGUAGAGAACUGGAUCAGAAGAGGAACAGCUGAGACACAAACCAGCACCCCUAUGGAAUGCCAGCGCCCUAGGUGAGGGCUUAGUGUACCACACCACAGUGCCGGCUCCUACUCUUCUUUUAGCUUCUGUUCUCAGUUCCAUCUGUGCCCUACACUUCCCUGGGCCCACCCACCUGGGUACCUGAGUAAAAGCUUCCCAAAGUGUCAGAUGCUUUAUGAGUCUCCUUGUCCAACCUCCACUGCCCAAAGGAGACACUGAUUCAAAUUUACUGAGCUCUUUCUGUUCCAAUGGCUGCUGUUAAUAGAAGCCUGAUUUUUUAAUUUAUGGUUCUGUUAUUUGGGAAGCCAUUCUAGGAUUUGAUAAUAUACUUUGAUAAUAUACUUUGCUCUUGGGAGCUUCUAGCACUUUGCACAAUGAAUUAGGUUCGCAAUCUACAUUGCUGAAGCGUCUCAGGUUUUAAGAUGAGUGUAGUGAUGAAGAGCAUGACUCUGGAGGCAGACAAUUGUUACCCACUGUUCCUUCCUGGUUUGGAACCUUGGUCAAGUUCCACAACCUUCCUGGUAGUCAGUUAUCUCUUCUGCUUUAUAUGGAAGAAUGUAAUAGAAUUCUUAGGAGCAUUAAAUGAGAUAAUGCAUUUAAAACCAUAGUAUGUGAUCAACAUGUGCAAGUUAUUGUGUUCAUCAUCACUACUAUCAUCUUCAUCUCCCUAUGUCCCUGUAUGUGUACACCUAAGAGGAAGAUGUAUCCGGGACAGGGAAUAUUACCUUUCUGAUGAUUAAUUACUCAAAACAUGAUCAGAUGAUUCCUCUCCAUAGGGAUCUGGUGAGGAAAGUGAUCCAGAAUUUUCACCUCUUUUUAUGUAGGCGGGGGAGAAAUGGAAGAUUUCCACAUGGGAAGCCCUUUUGCUCCCAUAAAGAUGUGAUUAGAAGCAGAGUCACCAAUUAUUCAGGGUGUUCCAACUGCAGCUAAUUCAUCAUGGCCCUUAAGACUCAGAGGUUUUAUUGGAGUCAGGAAAAUCUGGGGCCUUGCCUUUUUUUUUUAUUAUUUGAAAGGCAGACACACACACACACACACACACACACAGAUUUUAGAUCUGCUGGUAUCCUCCUCAAAUGAUUGUGACAGCAAGGGCUGGGCUAGACUGAAGCCAGGAGCUGGGAAUUUAGUCUGGGUCUACCACAUGGGAAGCAGGGACCCAACCACUUGAGCAAUGAUUUGAUAAUCCCCAGAGUGUGUAUUAGUAGGAAGCUAAAAUCAGGAGCAGAGCCAGGACUCAAACAACGACAUUCAGCUGUGAGGUGCAGGAGUCCUAAGCAUUGUCUUAUCUGCUUCACUAAACACCCUUGGGCCCUCACUUUUGGUGAUCACUAACCCUCUUACAUAAUCUUGGGCAAUUUAUUUCCACUCUGAAUGCCAGUUUACUCAUCUACAAAAAAGGGGUUUUCUUCUGUGAAGACGUUUACAUAAACAUGACCUAUAAAUGAAAACAUGUCAUUGAAAGACACUUGGUUCUGUUUAUUUCUGGGGUGGGCUCUUUGCUUAUCUUCACUUUCCAAUCUCUAGCUAAGCAGGAGUCGGUUUCAUUGAGGCUGGAAUGAGAAGGUUGGAAGGGAUCCUGCCAGUUCCUGAGGACUGGCAUUGAUGGCAACCAUGUGAACAGUGUGCACUGCUAUGCAACAAAGGUCUGGCAUGGUGCCUGGCACACAGGAAAUACCUAAUGAGGGGUGAGUGAUCGAGAUCACUUGGUGGCACUGUGGCUCAAGAGGUAGGCUCACUUUAGUGACCUCCAUCUUGGAGCACAACUACCUAGUGUGUAUGUGGGUGUGGGAUGUGAAGUCAUCAUUAGAGGUGGUGAUCUGCCCUAUAAUCACAUGUGGGGCACAGGCACAGGGAGCUUGCAUAGGCUGCAUGGCUGUACAGUGCAGUAGGUUUCAUGGUAGUUCCACAGAAAAUUUAUCAACAUGAAGACUUAGCUAUUGACACACUGAAAGCAACAGCUUAAGAGAAACCAAACUUUGAAAGCAUAAUGUCACAACCACUUCAAUGACCCCCUUUUUUCUUGCAGAGGAAUGAGCAUGAAUUAUUGGAUACAUAUGGUGGUGAGAUGGGCUAGAGGAAAAGCUAAUUUCCUAAAUCAUAUUAAAAUUUCCAUUAAAUUGUCAAUGAAAUUUUCUAUUAAAUAUUUUAAUUGGAAUGUAUUUUUGAAGCCUUGAUCCAGAUUCUCAUUAUUAAAAAUAUGACUUUGUUUUUUGACAUAUGUAAAAGCAGCAGUGUCCAUUCCCUCUUCCCUUAACUACUAAGAAUCCCAGUAAUUCUGAAUAGUAUUACUCAUAAAAUGAAGAAAAAAGACACAGCCAUCUGUGUUGAAUGCUUUGUGUCUCAGAUGGAAUACAGAAUGAUGAGAAGAAAGUUUGUAGUGGAAACUUCAGUGGCAGAAUGAUUUUACGGUAAUUUCGUUUUAGUGAGGGAAGUGUAGACAGUAUUGGUCCCAACAUAAGAUUCACAUAGUAACUGACUCACCCAGGUGUUUGUAUUACCUUAUUGCUUCAAACAGAUGAAUAUCUGGCAUAUAAAAUAGUAGCCCUGGCAUGGUUUUGUGCAGCUACUGACGGAGGCUGGAUCAACCUUUAUGCUUAGAUGAGGUUAAGGAUGCUUUGUCCAUCUUUGCCUUGUCGUUCUUAUCUUUAUUGCAUUAAGAAUCAUCUGCUGAUAAAAUUUCAAGGAAAAUAGGGCAAUUAGUCACCAUUUUGCAAAAAUUCAAAUGCUUCUGUUUAAAAACACAUAUUGAAUAGAGUGAAUGGAGUGUUCUAAAUAGUUGCUUUCUCUUAUGGAGGAGAUGCAUAGGAUUCAUUAGCUUGUACUUUUGAUCCCCAAAAGAAAUGAAGGCAUAGAGCAUUAUAGGAAUAUAACCGCACUAAAGUGGCAGAGCCAAGUUGAGAAUGCCAUCAUGGAUCUCCUGUUGGACAGGACAGUCUCCUUUCUGCCAGACCACGUUACUAUUCUUCAUUCUUAUUUACUGGAGCUCUAAUUUUGCAAAAUAAUUUAGUUUAUUCUUCCUAUUGUUGGCUUAUUGUUCAACAGCUUGAGCAUUCACUCUAAAUGGGUCUGCAUUUCACUUUUUAAAAAAUAUAGUCAAGUGUAUGUUUUUAUCUUCAAAUGUCUUCAUUUAGAAUCAACAAGGAUAUGUAUAUGUUUAAAGAGUUUUGAUAUGAAAAUUCUAUGUCAUGAAUGGCUUCUGCUUGAAGGGAGGAGAUAAACUAACCACAUUAAGUUAUGCUUGAGGAAGGAGACUGAGGCAAUAUAGACAAGGAAGGAAGAAGAAAUAAGAGUCCAGCUAGGUUGCAGAUAAGUGCAACAAUCCUAUUGUUCUGAUGGAUUUCUUCCUGUAAACAAUAGAUCUUUUAUUUUUAAGAUUUAUUUUAUUUAUUUGAAAGAAUCAUACACACACAUACACAUACACACAGAGAGAGAAAGAGCUGGGGAGAGAGAGAGAGAGAAAGAGAGGAAGAGAGAGAGAGAGAGAGAGAGGUCUUCUAUUUGCUGGUUAACUCCCCAAAUGGCUGCAAUGGCCAGGGCUGGGCCAGGCUAAAGCCAGUAGCCAUGAGCCUUGUCUAGGUCUCCCACACGGGUUCAGGGGCCUAAGCACUCGGGCCAUCUUCUGCUGCUUUACCAGGCACAUUAUUAGGGAGUGGAACAGCUGGAAUUUGAUCAAAUGCCCAUAUGGGAUGCUGGUAUUGCAGGUGGCAGCUUAACCUGCCACACCACAACACCAGCCCCUAGACCUAUUUUACAGCUAAAAUGGAGAGAGCUCACGUGAGCAAUGACUCCAAGUGAUCUGUCAACUGUUUGUGCUAAAAGAAAACCUUUUAGUGUGAUCAGAGCUGUCAAUACAUCUCUAUCUGUGGAAACAAGGAGGCCUUCCAUUUACAGAAACUUCCCUUCUCCUCAAGUGCUAACAGACAUCAUGGUAGAUUUCAACACUGCUGAGUGUUUGUCAAGGAGUUAGUGUUAGGAUUAUAGGGUCUUUGAUUUGUCUGAUGUUGAUCAGUGAGAGGAAUAAGAUACUGAACAAGUCAUUCUAUUAAAAUGCUAGAAAAGAACAAUCCAAGGGACAUCAACCAUUGAACUGUGAGCUCACUGUAAUAAUUCAAAGAUAGCCAAUUUGUGGCGAUCUCAGUGGUCACUGAGAUAAGGAAUAAUGUCCAUCUGCAAAGCUUGCAACUAACUAUUCACAGAGAACUUUUUAAAAAAGCACUCCCUAUUUUAGCUGUAGAAGAUCAGGAUCUCAGUUCUGCAGCAGGGUUUGCACUAUAAGAAUGAGAAGCUCCUGACAGAAGAUAAAGAGCACCUCAAUUCCAUCCAUUAAAACAUUGGUAAUUGAUUACAUAUUGUUUUUUGCUUUCAAAGUCCCUUAUGAUCUGUGUGCUUAAAACUGAGUUCAUCAUCUGCCUCACAGACCCAGUGCCCUCUCCUAGGAGAAGAAUACUACUAUCAUUAUUCUGGAAGUUUGCUUCCUCUUCCACCCCUAUAUCCCAUCAUUGCCAAGUUCCUGAAUCUGCCCAAUUCUCUAAUCUCCCUUGCUACCAUCUCUAUCUGAGCUAUUGUCAUCUCUCACCUGGAUGACAAUAAUUCCCUCCAUAGCCUCCAUUUUUCCUCCAAGCCAUUCCUCACAUAGCAACCAAAGUCAUUUGCUGAAAAACACAUCUAUUGAUAUCAGCCUUCUAUUCUAAAGAUCCUUCAAUAGCCACAGUUUACUUUCACUUAUGAAAGGCAUAGUCCUUAAUAUAGCCAACUGGACCUUGCAUGCUCUGGCUAUAGUUCCUUCACUUCUAGAAUGGAGAUAGUAUCCAUCAGAAUUAAACAAGGUGGGGCUGGCACUGUGGUGAAGUGGAUAAAUCUGCUAUCAGUGAUGUCGGCAUCCCAUAUAGGUGUCAAUUUGAGUCCUGGAUGCUCCACUUCCCAUCUAUUUCCCUUCUAAUGGCCUGCGAAAAGCAAUGGAAGGUGUGGGUCAAGUGCUUGGGCCCCUGCUACGCACAUGGGAGACCCAGAUGAAGCUCCUGGCUUCAACCUGCCUCAGUCCUGGCCAUUGUGGUCAUCUUGGUAGUGAACCAGUAGAUGGAAGAGCUCUCUAUCUCUCCUUCUCUUUCUGUAACUCUGUAUUUCAGAUAAAUGAGUGCAUCUAAGGAAAAAAAGAAUUUGGGCUGGUGCUGUGGUGCAGCGGGUUAAAGCCCCCUCUUGCAGCACCUGCAUGCCAUAUGGGCACUGGUCCAAGUCCUGGCUGCUCCAUUUUCUAUCUAGCUCCCUGCUAAUGCACCUGAGAAGGUAGCAGAGGAUGGCCCAGGUCUUUGAGCCCCUGCACCCAAGUGGGAGACCUGUAGGAAGCUCUUGACUCCUGGCUUUGGAUCGGCUCAGCUCUGGCCAUAUGGCCAUUUGGGGAGUAAACCAGUGGAUGGAAGACCUCUCUCUCUGUGUUUUCUACCUCUCUCUGUAACUGUCUUUCAAAUAAAUAAAGUGGAUCUUAAAAUAAGAAUUAAAGAAUUAAAUAAUGUAUGGAAAGUGCUUAUGAAGCAUCUAGGACUUAUGAAGUAUUCAAUAAAUAUUCUUCGUUAUUUUUCUUAUUACCAUUCCAGUUUUUUUUUUUUUAUCGUUACCACUUUCCCUUUCCACCUGUAGUUCCAGCAUCACUCAUCUUACUUUCAUUUUUCAAACAUGCCAGGUACUUUCUUUUUCUUUCUUUUUUUAAAAAAUUUAUUUAUUUAUCUGAAAGAGUUACACACACACACACACACACAGAGAGAGAGAGAGAGAGAGAGAGAAAGAGAUCUUCCAUCUGAUAGUUCACUCCCAGUUGGCCACAAUGGCUGGAGUUGCACCAAUCCUAAACCAGGAGCCAGGAGCUUUUUCUGGGUCUUCCAUGAGGGUGCAGGGGUCCAAGGACUUGGGCCAUCUUCCACUGCCUUCCCAGGCUAUAGCAGAGAGCUGUAUUGGGAGUGGCACAGCCAGGUCUCGAACCGGCGCCCAUAUGGGAUGCCGGCACCUCAGGCCAGGGUGUUAACCCGCUGUACCAUGGUGCCAGCCCCGCCAGGGGUUUUCUUACUACAUGUUGUUUCUUUCCCUGUAAGGCUUCUUCACACCCACUCACCUUACUUAGUGCUUCUAUCUUAGAGAUAUAAGCAGAGGAGAAAUAUCACUUCCUUGGGAAAUUCUCUUUGCCAACUAGAGUAGACCAAAUGCCCUUGGUUAUUUGCACAAUCCUUUCAUUAAUAUUUUCAUCCACAUUGUCCUCAUCAAUUUUCCCUCUCAAAAUGAAAUCCCUAGGUCCAGGCAUGAUACCCAGAUACUCAAAUAGUAGUUGAAUGAGUGAAUUAACUCUGCUAAGUUCUGUAUCAAGGGAUUGGUGUCACUGUGCUUGGCAAAAAGUUACCAAAUUGAGAAAACUUUAGGCUAAAAUUUGAAGGGGAGGGCGACUUGAAAAGAAAGAAAAAAGAACAGAAAUCAAGACACCAGAAGAAAACAAAUUUGGUAAAAGAUUGUGAAAGUAGUGCCUCAUGAUCCUGAAGUGAAAACGACAGGACAGGAAGUUGGGAACAAUUAUUUAUAGACUCAGGGAUCCAUAUGAUUAGGGAGUGCAUAUGAUUUGGGGAGUUAGUAAAAUGGCCUUAAAAUUUUAACCCAGAGGAAUAAGUAAGUUUUAUUAAUUUACUCAUCUCUCAACUAAUAUUUGUGCUGUCACAGAUAACAUUAAAUCUUCUUGGAAGGGGCUAAGGACAAGAAUAGACAAUUAAGACAAUAUAAUUCUUCCUUGAAAAAACAUAAACCGAGUAUCUGGAAGAAAAUAUAGAUAUCACUAUUUAGGGAAUCUGCAAACUUCACUGAAAAAUUCUGAUUAUCCUAUGUGGGUAUGGGUUUUUUUGGUCUGUAUUUAUGGAUGCUUCUGUGGGUCGUUAUCUAACGUGCUCCAUAAAUCCAGCAGAGGACAGCCACUUUGGCAUCUUUAGGUUCCCCCUCUUUUACUCUUUGUGUGUUUAUUGUUAGUUUUUGGAACCACCUUUCUGUUCAGAUUUGCCAUUGAUGUAUUUGUGCAUCUCUUUCCUCUGGACUUCUAAAAACCUUUUUAAAAAACCAGUAGUUUUCUGUUUUCUACAUUAUAUUCCUUAUAUUUUUAUGAACACUAAUAUUAAAAUCAUCUUUUCAAAAGUUGCCAGCAUUUUUACUUCAUUGUUUAGCCUGUUCUUACUUAUCAGAAUGAGGUCAGGGUAACAACUUCUCUUAUUUCUUCAAACAUUUAGGGGAUUAUAUAUAUUUUUAAGGAAAAGUAGGCAUCUUAGGUAUCUUUUUAGAUCCUCUUUUGCCAGAGGCAUGUGUCCAUCAGGCAUCCAGAUAGCUGAAAUCUCUUUUUACUCCUUUUUGGGGAUUUCCCUUAUUUCAGGAAGAACCCAUCCAUAGCUUCCACAGGAGAUGGUCCAUAUUCUGUUUGUUCUAUCUAUUUCCGAUUCUCUCGCCUCUGGUUUUAUCUGAAUAUCCCCAGCCUUUCACCAUCAUAGUGGGGUCACCUAUGGAAUUAGGGAGCUACAUUGAUUGGAAUCCUUAGUGAUCUAAGUAAAGAAAACCCAAAUGGCAAGAAAGAAAGAAAGGAGGGAGGGAGGGAAGAGAAAUGUGGGAGAGGAGAGAGAGAGAGCAAAUGAGAGAAAGACUCUUGGAAGCAAGGAAGGAAGGCAGGAAGGGGGGAGGGAGGGAGGGAAGAAGAAAGAAAAGAAAGAAAAAAAGAAAGAGAAAGACAUUUAUUAGCUUACAAAACUGAAUGGAUUCAAGUAGCUGACUGCAGGCAGAGUUUGAUUCAGGGUCACGAACAAGAUCACCUAGCUGAAGUCUUUUCUCUCCUUCAUUCUCAGCCAUCUCACACAGGCAACAUGGCUCAUGGCAUUCUUGGCUUCACAUAAUUUUAGGCUUAAAUCUGAUGGGAAAGGACAUGUAUCUUUCUUAUAAGAUUUCCAGCAAAAUUUCAUUGCAUCUCAUUGACUAUACUUGGGUCAUUCUUGAAGCAGUUCCUGAGGAAGGGGGAACAUGAUAUUUUGAUUGUCUGGGCUGUGUGACAUCCCUGGAAUUAGUGGAGGAGUGGCAGUACAGGAGGGGAUAUUUCCAGUGGAAAAAGUGGAUGCUGCUGUCAGGAAAGGGGCAGAAGAAUUCUGUCAAAAACAUAGGAUGUGGGGCCAGUAAAGCCACUGCCUACAGUGCCAGCAUCCCAUAUGGGCGCCAGUUUGUGUCCUGGCUGCUCCACUUCCAAUUCAGCUCUCUGCUGUGGCCGGAAAAGCAGUGAAGAUGGCCCAAAUUCUUGGGCCCCUGCACUCAUGUAGGAGAUCUGGGGGAAGCUCCUGGCUCCUGGCUCCUGGCUCCUGGCUCCUGGCUCCUGGCUUGGGAUCAUCUCAGCUCUGGCCAUUGCAACCAUCUGGGAGUGAGCCAGUAGAUGGAAGACUCUCUCUCUCUCUCUCUCUCUCUCUCUCUCUGUAGCUCUGCCUUUCAAAUAAAUAAACAAAUCUUUUUAAAAAUACAAAAAACUGGAUGUAUAUUGCAGCAAAGAAGGCAAUAAAACAAAAAGCAUUGAAAACAAAGAAGUGAAAGUCAUGGGAAUAUUGUACCUACAGAAUGUGGUAGGUGUAAAAGGAGAGAGACUCAGAACCCAGAGCACCAAUGAAUAUAUUAAAAGUUGAUUUAAAGGGAAAGAAUUUGGAUUUAUGCAUAGCUUUAUAUUUUAUGGGGGAAGGAUACACUAGGCACCUUUCUGAGAGUCAAACCACACAAUUCCCAUUAGCACAGUCAUGUUGACAUUUGCAUUAUGAGAAGGUAUUCAUCUCAACUAAGGAGUUACCCCUAGUAGAGAUGAACAGUGCAGUGCUCAUUAAACCUUAUGGCCUCUGGGUUUAGUGCUGAUAUUUUUACCUCUUACCUGUUUGAAAGUUUCAAGACACACAGUGAAUCAGCACUCCUCAGAGACAGAUGCCACAGAGUUAUGAGAGAAGAGUCUGGCUUGAGGAACUGAGUAAUUACAUGGAAAUUUGUUCUUUACUAGCCCAGAUGGGGUUUUGUCUUACUGUUUUUCAAUUUUUUUUGGAGAAAAAAUUCACCACAAAAUAAACCCAAAAGAAAACUGUAUGAGAAAGUCUCCAUAUUACAAUCUGGAAGUGAUCAAUUUAAAGAUGCAAAAGUCAGCAGGUUUGGUAUUCAGAAUUUUCACGGUCACAUUGAACUUGUCUUCAUGGUACACAAGUAUAUUCUGGGUUAUUGUCCUCGUAUGGGUUCACUGCUAAGCAUGUACUCCUUUUGGUUGUUUUGGCUCUUAGCCUCACAUGUUGGGGCAAGUUAAUGCUGUAUAUGAAUUUUAAUGUGUAUUUCCUCACUUUGGUCCAGGGCCAAAAUAGCAUGCAGGGAGAUAGGGCAGUGAUUGAUCCUGGCACUCCUGAGAGUAGUAAGCUCCUUAGGAUAUUAAAGUUUAAUCACCUCUCAGAAGUGGAUGAAGACCACUGAGGACACCGGGAAGGAUACCAGUCUACCUACUUGUGUGCUUUUAGUUUUUUUUUGAAGCACAGGACACCCCAUUUUUUUCCUGGGCUGGAAAUGGGGAGGAGGAACAGGUAAUUCAGAGAGAAAUUAGUGUAGGAUUAGUCUGGGAAUAUAGCCUAGCUAGGCCGCUAGCUAUCAGUUGGCCAGAUUCUCCAUCAUUCACAACCUUGGAGGCUCCCCCAGCCUGAAACAGCAGGGUGUGUGGAUGUUGUGACACAGAGCUCGUCAGGGUAUGUAGAUGCUGGGAUGCUGAGCUCCAGUGACAGAGGCUAACACCUGAGAACUCUCCCUGUUAGGGCCCAAGCACCCCCAGAUGCCUUUCUCUUUUUCUCAUAGGAGUCUUUAAUGCCUAUGUACCUAGUGUGAUAUGAGACCUUUAUAAUAUGUAUCAUCUCAUUGAUUUCUCAAAACAUCUAUUCAGGGUAGAUAUUAUUAAUUUAAUUUAUAUUGUUAAAAAAUAAGAGGCUCAUAGAAGCUAGCUGGCUAAGGUACCAUAGUCAGUAAGAUAGCUGGGGUUGGUUACUGGGUUCAUCUGAUUCUAUAGUCAUGCUUGUCCAUGAAAUACAGUUUUCAUCAAGACUUCUAGAACAUUCAGAGGCUGGCAGGUGCAGAAGAGUUGAGGUGAAGGGCAGAUAGUGCCCGGCAGGAAAGAGAGGCACGGUUUUCUUUGAGAGGCAGCUGUGACCCCUUCUGUACCCUCGGGCCUGGCCUCCCACUCUGCCCUAGCUUUGCUGUGGUGAAAACUCUGCAGGGUAGGGGUGGGGGGUAGCCUCCUUGUGCUUCUUUAGCACUUGGCUGGCACUCCCAAGCUUGUUCAACAGGUGGCAGCUGUUGGAUCACUCAAGAAUAAAGACUUCUCAGGAUCUCAGUUUGCUUCUCUGAAAAAUGAAUCCCAUAGUCAUCUCUGUCUAUGCACUGUGUACCUGGAGAGCAUGAGAGCAUUUCUUCAAAGUGAAUGGAAGCGGUGUGACUUCUUUGGGCAGGCUGUGUCCCCCCUCCCAGCACUGGUUCCUGUGCAGGCACUCACCCCGCCAAGCUCAGCAGGCCACCAAGUCUCAUUUCUAGUGAAUGUCAUUUAAAAGCCAAAGCAAGCUGACUACAGACUUUUUAACAUGCGUCUCUCAUCUGCUAAGCAGAAAUCCCUGUAACUUGUUAAUAGUUCUCCUCUUAUUUUUUUGUAGUGAAACCAAUUGAGGCCCUAAAUCAGUACCAUUCAUUCCAUCAUGGGCCAUCUGAGAAAACCAUUUAGAGUUGUGGAAAGUCAUCUGCUCCAUCUUGCACUUCCUGUAGCAGAGCCGGAGUCAGGCCCGAUGGAGCAUACCUAUCCCAGGACAGUGCCGUGUGCUGAGCAGGUGGUCUCCUUGGGGACCACAUAAACACCACAUCAGGGAGGGCAAGGGCAGACCUUCAAAGAGAGGAGAGCAUAUACAUAUCCUGUAAAACACAAAUCUCUGUACAGCAGGAGUCAGGUUUCUCCAUGUGUGCCAUAGCCCUAAUUUCAGUGAGGCUCAUGGCAUUUAAGGUGAAAAGGAGGAAAACAUGUAGGAUGCCUCCAAGAAGAUAAAUGGAUCCCUGGGCUUUCCACGAGGCACAGCCCGUUUAGCCACACAAAACCAUGAAGCAUGAGAUGUGCUUCUUCCUCCUUCUCCAAUCUUCCUUUUCCAAAAAUGCCUUCAUUAUAUUGAAGUGAUUCCUUGUGUAGUAUUUGGACUUGCUCAUUUGCACUUUAUAUGAGUUUGAUGUUUAGAUAUAGACAUAAUACUGACAAGGACAGAAAGGGGGGGCUCUAGUUCAAAGUCUUCGUUUCACAGCUGAGGAAAAUGAAAAGGUAGUUGUGUUGCUUGUGACACAAGCUGCGCAGAGGUCAACGGACCUGGGUUUGAGCCGAGAGCCCUUCUCAGUGUGGCAUUAUCUCUAGUUGUAGAAUAAAAUCUAAUUUUCUGAGGUGGGCAUUUAAUCUAGUAGUUAAGUUGUCAGUUAAGAUGUGGGAAACCUGGAUUGAGUUCCCGGCCUUAGCCCUGGAGUCCAGCUCCAGCCAUUGUGGGCAUUUAGGAAGUGAUUCAGCAGAUGUUUCUCUCCCAAUCUCUCUGCAUCUCAAGUAAAUUUUCAAAAUAUUAUUUAAAAAAUAAUCACUCUUCUCUUGAAGGAAUUUAAGUUCUGAACUGGAAAUGAGGAAUGAGUUUCCUGAAUGGAGUCUAAUAUCAGCAGUUAUUUAUAUUUAAACCCAAUUCUACCUUGAAGGCUUAUUUGGGGAAUUCUUUUGACCAAGAGAAAGAUGAUUUUAGUUGGGUUUUAUAAAAUUUAACUGAAAAAAUCAGCAAGAGCCACAUUUGUGCUUCUCUUGCCAAUACCACUACCUGUAUCUGUGAAUGUAGGCUAAUGAAUUUUUUUUCCUGCUAAAAUUAACUUUGGGCUUCUCUUGGAAGAAUCUGAUUCUUAAUUCACACACCUGGGUUGCUCCAUCCCCGCACACUGGGAGGGUUUCUUUGUAGCCCUAUGACUCUGGAAUCCUGCCAGCUUUCUUCACAUUUUCCUCAUUGACAAAAAUCUGAUUCCUGCUCCUUUCCACCUAAAAUCUCCUUAAUCAUUUUAUAGCCCUCAGGUUCUAAGGGUGCCAAUAUGAGUUGUGGGUGAACUAAAGGAUAUCCCACUCCUUAGGGGCUAGGGUGGAGUUGGGUGCUCAGCUCCUAACAGUUCUGGGAAAGUUCCAACCUUCCCUGAAGGAAGAUAUUCCGUCAGAGGAGAUUCCCCACUGAGGACAAAACGGCUGCUCCUGCUGCAAUCAAAGACAUUGGCGCUGCAGCCCCAGCACCCGCCACUGUCUUUAAAGCCCACUGGGUGAGGCAGGAAGUGGAUGCUGCACUGUGCUUCUUGGUCCCUUGAAAGAAGAUGCUUGUAACAAGAGAACAUAUGUGAAAUAGAUUGGUGCAUGAACCACGAAUCCAGCUUUGACAUCCAGACAUCAUGAGAUCAGUUAUGUCAAAUACUGAUUCAGGGACUUUUAGAAAUGAAAGAAAUCUGUACAUCCUCUAACCCCAAGAGUGGUCUUAGGACCAUGACCUGAGAACUUGUUAGAGAUGCACGUUCUCAGGCCCUGGCCCAGACUUGCAGAAUCAGAAACUCUAAGGAGGGAGUCACAAGUCUGUGUCUUCGUCAGCCCUCCACUGAUUCUCAUGUGCACUUUAGUUUAAGAAUCACUCCUCUGAGUACUUUGAAAUAUGGAAUUUGGGUUGUGUAAUUUGUUCUCAAACUUUGAUGUAUAUUAGAAUAAUUUGGGAGGACUUUUGAAGUAAUUCCGAUGUGGUGGUCUCCUGCCCGGGAACCCUCCUCUAGAUGGUCUGAGGUAGAAUCCUGGAACACUGGCGUUUUUUUUAAAAAAGUGGGCAAGUUCCUCUUGGCUUGAAAACCAGCGAUCUAACUCACUCCCUCAUCUCUGGGUGUGGAAAUGGACACCUGGACAAGGUGAGUGAGGGGCUCAGGGUCAUAAGGUGGGUUAGUGCAGCAAAACUGUGAAUAGAACCGUAAUCUCCCAGUUUGCAUGGCCUUUUGUCUUCACAAAUAUCUAAAUCUUAGUCAGGCUCCUGUCAAGAAGAAGACAGCAGAUCUUUUGAGUCCUAAUGACUUUGUUUCUGGAUAGCCUUGCUGUCUUCCAACCUCAUUUUUUUUUUUGACAGGCAGAGUGGACAGUGAGAGAGAGAGAGAGAGAGAGAGAGAGAAAGGUCUUCCUUUUUGCCGUUGGUUCACCCUCCAAUGGCCGCCGCGGCCAGCGCGCUGUGGCCGGCGCACUGCGCUGAUCCGAUGGCAGGAGCCAGGUACUUAUCCUGGUCUCCCAUGGGGUGCAGGGCCCAAGCACUUGGGCCAUCCUCCACUGCACUCCCUGGCCACAGCAGAGAGCUGGCCUGGAAGAGGGACAACCGGGACAGAAUCCGGCGCCCCGACCGGGACUAGAACCAAGUGUGCCGGCGCCGCAAAGCAGAGGAUUAGCCUAGUGAGCUGUGGCGCCGGCCCCAACCUCAUUCUUAUGAUACUCCUGCUCCUAAUGUCUUUCAUAUGACAAAACUUUAAUCUCUUACCCCAGUUUCCACUUGGGUCCCUCUGUCUGCCUUCCCAGUCCCAAGUCCUGACUUGGAGCCCUCCACUAGUACCCAUUUUUUCUUGAGAUUAGGGUCCUGCUUUGGCAUCUUACGUGUUGACUGCAAGACUGAAAAUGUCCAAGUAGACAACAGUCUCUGUUGAAAACUUAAUGCAUUUUCUUUGCUUUGAGAGUGGGACAAGCUGAUGGGUGGAUUUGAAUUAUGAUCACCAGAGGUGUUAUUAGAAAGUGAAUUUGGGCUGGCGCCAUGGCUCACUAGGCUAAUCCUGUGCCUGUGGUGCCGGCACACCGGGUUCUAGUCCUGGUCGGGGCACCGGAUUCUGUCCCUGUUGCUCCUCUUCCAGUCCAGCUCUCUGCUGUGGCCCAGGAGGGCAGUGGAGGAUGGCCCAGGUCCUUGAGCCCUGCACCCGCAUGGGAGACCAGGAGGAAACACCUGGCUCCUGGCUUUGGAUUAGCGCAGCGUGCCAGCUGCAAUGCGCCGGCCGUAGUGGCCACUUUGGGGGUGAACCAACGGAAAAGGAAGACCUUUCUCUCUGUCUCUCUCUCUCACUGUCUAACUCUGCCUGUCCCAAAACAAACAAACAAACAAAAAAAACCAAACAAACAAACAAAAAAAGCAAGAAAAAAAAAGAAA